GUGGUUGCCAGGCAGGGCCUCUCUACUAGUCUUGUGCAGAGGCUUUUGCUGAGGCUGCUGUGAGACUGUAGAGUUUCCCCCUGGGCCACGGAGCCGG
rnacentral:pre_miRNA from 1 species